rnacentral:rRNA from 1 species
CGUCAUGCUUAGUAGCGGCGAGUGAGCGGCAAAAGCUCAAAUUUGAAAUCUGGCACUUUCAGUGUCCGAGUUGUAAUUUGAAGAAGGUAUCUUUGGGUCUGGCUCUUGUCUAUGUUUCUUGGAACAGAACGUCACAGAGGGUGAGAAUCCCGUGCGAUGAGAUGUCCCAGACCUAUGUAAAGUUCCUUCGAAGAGUCGAGUGGUUUGGGAAUAG